rnacentral:rRNA from 1 species
UAACUACGACGAAGACGUAGACUAACUACCGCAUACCGCCUGGAGGGGAAGUGGGGGUCUUAGGACCUCACGUGAUUGGAGUGGCCGAUGUCAGAUUAGCUAGUUGGUGAGGUAAAGGCUCACCAAGGCGACGAUCUGUAGCGGGUCUGAGAGGAUGAUCCGCCACACUGGGACUGAGACACGGCCCAGACUCCUACGGGAGGCAGCAGUGGGGAAUUUUGGACAAUGGGCGCAAGCCUGAUCCAGCCAUGCCGCGUGAGUGAAGAAGGCCUUCGGGUUGUAAAGCUCUUUCGCAAGGGAAGAAAACGGCAAGGUUAAUACCUUUGUCGGCUGACGGUACCUUGACAAGAAGCACCGGCUAACUACGUG